UACGUAAAAGACUAGUGUUAUUCAUCUUUAGUAGGUUUAAAGGGUACCUAGACGGUAUAAUUAGUCUUAAACAAGAAACGGUUAUGCUAGAGUUAUAUAUGAGAAGGGGAGUAUUUAUGGAGUAGAGUUGAAAUUCUUUGAUCCCAUAACGACUGGUAGCGGCGAAAGCAACCUUUUAUCUAAUAACUGACGUUGAGGGACGAAGGCUCGGGUCACGAACAGGAUUAGAACCUACC
rnacentral:rRNA from 1 species